rnacentral:rRNA from 1 species
GAGUGCGGCAGCUAUACAUGCAGUCGUACGCUUCUUUUUCCACCGGAGCUUGCUCCACCGGAAAAAGAGGAGUGGCGAACGGGUGAGUAACACGUGGGUAACCUGCCCAUCAGAAGGGGAUAACACUUGGAAACAGGUGCUAAUACCGUAUAACAAUCGAAACCGCAUGGUUUUGAUUUGAAAGGCGCUUUCGGGUGUCGCUGAUGGAUGGACCCGCGGUGCAUUAGCUAGUUGGUGAGGUAACGGCUCACCAAGGCCACGAUGCAUAGCCGACCUGAGAGGGUGAUCGGCCACAUUGGGACUGAGACACGGCCCAAACUCCUACGGGAGGCAGCAGUAGGGAAUCUUCGGCAAUGGACGAAAGUCUGACCGAGCAACGCCGCGUGAGUGAAGAAGGUUUUCGGAUCGUAAAACUCUGUUGUUAGAGAAGAACAAGGAUGAGAGUAACUGUUCAUCCCUUGACGGUAUCUAACCAGAAAGCCACGGCUAACUACGUGCCAGCAGCCGCGGUAAUACGUAGGUGGCAAGCGUUGUCCGGAUUUAUUGGGCGUAAAGCGAGCGCAGGCGGUUUCUUAAGUCUGAUGUGAAAGCCCCCGGCUCAACCGGGGAGGGUCAUUGGAAACUGGGAGACUUGAGUGCAGAAGAGGAGAGUGGAAUUCCAUGUGUAGCGGUGAAAUGCGUAGAUAUAUGGAGGAACACCAGUGGCGAAGGCGGCUCUCUGGUCUGUAACUGACGCUGAGGCUCGAAAGCGUGGGGAGCAAACAGGAUUAGAUACCCUGGUAGUCCACGCCGUAAACGAUGAGUGCUAAGUGUUGGAGGGUUUCCGCCCUUCAGUGCUGCAGCUAACGCAUUAAGCACUCCGCCUGGGGAGUACGACCGCAAGGUUGAAACUCAAAGGAAUUGACGGGGGCCCGCACAAGCGGUGGAGCAUGUGGUUUAAUUCGAAGCAACGCGAAGAACCUUACCAGGUCUUGACAUCCUUUGACCACUCUAGAGAUAGAGCUUCCCCUUCGGGGGCAAAGUGACAGGUGGUGCAUGGUUGUCGUCAGCUCGUGUC